AUUAAAAUAGAAUUUAGAAACUUAAUAAAAACAAUCCAUCUAAACAUAACAAUAUUUAGUAUAAUACAAUUAACAACCAUUCCAAACAAAGGUAAGCAAUUAGUUUUAAAUACCACAUGAGCACCUAUUAAGUAAUUUCUCUCAAUUGUGAAUGUGAUAAGUACAUCACAAAGCUCUCUUUUUUACUUGUAGAUAAGCUCUUUAAUUUUCAAUGAGAAUUCUUGCUUCAAACCUAAUUGCAAACCUAUUAUCUUUCUUAU
rnacentral:lncRNA from 1 species